CGUGCUGGGGUGGGGGCUUCGCCUCGGGGUCAGCCAGCUCCCGCCUGGACUCUUCCCAGCCCGCUGCCGGGGUAGCUGUGCUUCUUCAGCUUCAGCUCUUUUAGAGAUGGUACAAUGAAGAAAGCUCAUUCUGUAAGGUUACAGUCUAGCAAGAAGCCUUCCGUCUUCCCUGGGGUCCGGAGUCGGUUACCGAGUGCCCUUCAUCCAGUGCAACACCAUGCCUCAUACCGGAGAGGCCGGUUGAAAGAAUUACGCGUCAGAUGCAUGACCAGAAAGUUCUUGUUUUUGUGGAUUCGAAAGACUUUUGGAAGAAUCUCUCCCUCUAAAGCCAGGUAGUAUUA